GACGAACGCUGGCGGCGUGCUUAACACAUGCAAGUCGAGCGGUAAGGCCCUUUCGGGGGUACACGAGCGGCGAACGGGUGAGUAACACGUGGGUGACCUGCCCUCAGCUCUGGGAUAAGCCUGGGAAACCGGGUCUAAUACUGGAUAUGACUCCAUGACGCAUGUUGUGGGGUGGAAAGCCUUGUGCGGCUGAGGAUGGGCCCGCGGCCUAUCAGCUUGUUGGUGGGGUGANGGCCUACCAAGGCGGACGACGGGUAGCCGGCCUGAGAGGGCGAUCGGCCACACUGGGACUGAGACACGGCCCAGACUCCUACGGGAGGCAGCAGUGGGGAAUAUUGGACAA
rnacentral:rRNA from 1 species